rnacentral:lncRNA from 1 species
GGGGGAGCUGGGCUCCCUCCUGAGCCCGCUGGCCUGCAGGUACCUCGCAGGGCUGGCCACUGCACAGCAUCCGGAAAAAGCACAGCUGGGGGCCAGCCCUUCCUCUCGGAGUGCGGCCUUUGUGUCCUGCCCUUUAGGGGAUAAUCGCCUCCUUGCUGGGCCGGGUAUUGACCAGCAGAAGAGGCUGCAUUGAGCAGGUUCUUGCCAGGGAGCUGGAGUGGAAGUGAGGAAGAGCCAGGCUGGAUUUGGAGAGGGUGCGGAUACCAGAGAGUCCCCCUAGGAAGCCAGGACUCUGGGCAAGCAGCACUGGAGCCUGCAUCUCCUCUGCCUUUCAGAUAACCUCUAGUGACUGGGGCCUCCAGUCCGCUGGUCCCUUGCCUGGCACAGGGAGAGGAGCCAGUCCCGCAAGGCAGGAGCCUCCUUAAACAACAGAGCUUUGAAGCCCCCCAGCCCAGCCCAGCCUUUUCCUGCGAGGCACGUGGAGCUGAGGCUGGGGCAGCGCGGCAGGGCUGAUCCGUGUCUACACUUCUGCACUCCCACCAACGGAGCCCGGUCUACUCCCCAGCGGGACGCUUCCUGGCUCUGGCUCUGUUGCCCAGCUACUACCCUGGGGGAGCUGCAGGCUCCACGAACCU